GGGGGUGUAGCGGGCCACCAGGCCCUGGAGAACCACUGAGCUGGGGGCCGGCAGAGCUGGGACACCGCCCCCGGGUUCCGCCGUGGGGGCGGGGGCGGCGAGACCCCUCCCCCUUUUGUCUUAGGUACUCGGAGGUAGGGGGCUGCGCCCGGCCAGAGCAAUUAGCCCAGCGCCGGGCCUGGAGCGACUGGGACUUGCAGUGUCCCGGCCUUGAUUGCAAUCACUGUGCGGGGGUGGGGGGAGGGGAAACAGAAAGGGAGUGAUAACUGGGCUGACGGAGGAUAACUGCCAUUAUUAAGCACCCGGGGCUGGCCAGGAGCAGUCACCGCCUCUUCCUUCCCGAGGGGGCAGCCGAGGCACACGGGAUACAAGCAUGUGUCCUGGAAUUGUGGAAGAGGCAGAGCUGGGAUACGAACCUGGGACAUGUGGCUCCUGGCCCGCACUGCGCCACAAUGAGGAAAACGUGCUACACUUUCCUCCACCGUAAAAAUGGCUGGACUUAGGAAAACUAAUGACUAAUAUGUCCACCUCCUAGCAAAUGUUUGGAAUGAACAUGAGAAAUUGCUGCUACAAACAUUCUCGUACAGGUUUUAUGUGAACGGAAGUUGUCCUCUCUCUAGGAUAAAUAUCUAGGAGUACGAUUGCUGAGUUAUAAGGGCUGUUGGAAACAAAGCGGCAGUGAACAGGCAUACACCAUGGACAGACGUGUGGGGGCUGCGUCCUGUCCUUGUGUGCCAUCCUGCCUGGCACAGAACGGAGGUGCUCCAGGUGUAUCUGCUGGACCACCGAGCCAAGGCAGGUAGAAUAAACUUCAGGAGGCCCAACUGUGACUACUGCGACUCCCCUUCACAAAAAUGAGGACAUCUCCACCUUCAAACCGUUUCCUACUGGUUAUGGUUCUAGACAUUUUUCUCUAAAUGACCGAAGGCACUGCAACUCAAAGUGUGUUCUAAAGACCAGCAGCGCAGAAAGACCCAGAAGCUUGUCAACAAUGCAGCCUCUCAGGCCCACUACAGACCUGCAGAAUCGGAUGGGGGUUUCUAUAGUCUUCAGUGUAAGAGAUGCACUGUCCUAAGGUUUAGGACAUGUGGGAAGUCACUCAACUGUACCGGUUAAACCAGGAAAGAAGGAACACAAGAAUAUUAAAAGCACACUAACUACAUCUUAGCAAUCAGAAGAACUAUUAACUAAUUUAGCCUACGUCUGAAAUUUGUCCUGGAAUUUAGCAAGAGCUUGUG